UUUAAUUUUACGCUCCAACUAGUUAACCCUAAGCACAGUGAAUUAUACCACCAUAUAAUCCAACCUUUCAAGCUGCAUUCUUCCACACAAGUUUGAAGAAUAAAAGUGGCUAGGUACUAACUAACUCCAUCUCCUUAAUUACUUUAAACACCAAAAUUUCGCCAAAUCUUACUAUUUUUCUGGGAUUGUUAGUAUUACUAAAACCUUUUUUGUGUCUUUCUUCCUCAGGUUGAUCAAUCAUGAAGAUCUCAAUCAGUCUCUUUGUUGCCUCAGUAUUCAUCUUGGGAUCUUUUCAAGCCAAUGCAAAAAGGGUUUUUCCCCUGCUAUUGAAUGAUGCAAAUCUUCUUGGCAGAAAGGUCAAGAGUAUUGGUCCUAAUGACAAGGUUGCGACUCAAACCAAAAUAGCUGCUACAAACGGUGCUGCUACAGCUGCUUAUAGUGAAUUAAAUGAAAAUGACGAUGGAGAAGAUUCAGGCACAUCCUCCCACCGCUAUUUCCCAGAUGAUAAACACCAACCCUCCACCGCGAACAAUAACGUUAACACACCUCAUCGCAACCUCUAAGACGCUAUAGAUAUACAUGUUGUCGUCAACAGCCGUGCAGACCAAAAUAUAUAUAUGUAUAUAUAAUGGUGCUCGGCCUUAUAAUUAUAAACGUGAGAUAUAAUGCAUGCAUGUUUGGCAGUUAUACCAUGCGUCGUAGCUCAGUAAGUUGUGGCCUGUACAUGGACAGGAUCUUUUGAUCAUGUUAAGAUCGAGUUUUAGAUUUGUGUUUCAUCUGUGAUUGAUUGUCUUGUGUUUCCAUGAUCUUGGCUUUUAUGCAUGCUACAUGCGUGUCAUGUACAUGUCAUCUACCCACGGUGAUUUGAGUAGUAUUGUGGCAUGUUUAUAUAGACUGCUUAUAUAUUAUAUGUUGUAUUUCCUAAUUAUACAUUCUCUCGAGUUAUGUGGAGAUCAUCAGUUUAAUUUUCUGUUAAUAGUCGCAUCACUCCUUGUAUUUUUCAGUUGCAGAUAUACACGUCUUUACAAACCUUGUGAAUACAAGAAUUAUGUAUCUUAAUAACAUGCUAGGUUUUAAGUAAGUUCAGCAAUUCCAACAUAUUUUAACCACCGGUACUUUUUUUUUUUUUUUUACGGUCUGGAUGGAUAUCCCGAAAUCACCGGACUAAUCUCCCAAACUGGGCAGAGCUCGCCCCAAAGAUGCCCAACAGCAGUAGCAAGUGGGUGUCGAACCUAGAACCUUGUUAUAAAGACAAACGACCACCGGAACAGUCGAGCUAUCCACUGGGGCUAACCUCGGCCGAGCUAUCCACUGGGGCUAACCACUAGUACUUGCUACUGAGUAUACAUAACUGUUCUUUGGCGUGGCUUCAAGAAACGUUAACCUGUCAUUGAAUCUGCUAAACACAGGUAGAGUGCAAGAAGCUGCCACAUACAUAGUGCUUAAUUAAGAAGGCAUGCAUGCAUUUUAACCCCUUAUUGUGCCCAAACACGGCAUUGAAAUGUUGUACCAAUCUCUGAGCAAAUAAUUAAGAACAAUUUUAGGCAUUUACUUUAGAUGGAUUUCCUUCUACUAUGCAUUCAUCUUGCCAUGUAAAAACAAGUUAAUCUUUUCACACAUGGCACCAGCGGGAGAUAUGCCCCAUCAGUUUCCAAACAGCAAGAUCCUCGCAGGCAGACAAUAUUCUGAAGUACAACAUUAUUAUAUUUUCUCCCAGCAGUUUUAAUUUCAUUUUAGCUGUAUAAAUGCA
rnacentral:lncRNA from 1 species